UGUCCGUUAGCUUAAUUAGUAAAGUGCAGGCCUUCCACGCCUGAGAUAAAGGUGCAAAUCCUUUACGGACUC
rnacentral:tRNA from 1 species